UCUUUUCUUUUGAUAAAAGGGUUUUUGAAACCAAUGUUAUUUUUGCAAGUUUAAAAAAUUUUGUGUAUUAAGUUUUUUAUUGUUGGCAUUAAAUAGCUUUAUUAAACUUAAGCUUAGAUCAUUUUGGGGGUUUAGCUCAGUUGGCUAGAGCAUCGGCUUUGCAAGCCGAGGGUCAAGGGUUCGAGUCCCUUAACCUCCAUUGGGCAUGUGCCUUGAAUUGUGAUUCAUUAUGUUUUCAAGCACUUUUAUUAAAGUAGUUAUUUGAAUGCAAAACAGAGUAAGUUAAGAUUUCUGGGUUAAAGUUAGGAUCCGUUUGUUGAUAUUAAUAAGAAUGCCUAGAAGCGAAAGCAAACUUUCGAUAAAAAUCGAAGUUGUUUCUCUAGAGCACAAGGAUUAAACAGUAUUAUAUUUUCCAACAGUCCAUUCUAUAAACGAGCUGCAUUUGUUACUAGAUUUUAGUUAGAAAUUGAUAUGUAUUUCCAGUUGUGAUAUCUGAAGGGGAGAGUAAGUAUUGCAGAGAGCCGUCACCCUUGUUAUCUUUGCUAGUAUGUAAGGAUAUUCUGGACAAGACUGUUAGUUAUAAGUUAAAAGAAAGCCAAGUUUGUGCUAAAUCACAAUGUUUCUUGUGUCCUAGAUUAUAAGCUUGCCGUAAUAGCCUAAAAAAGCUAAGCAAAAUGCCAUAAAUCAGAUUUCAGUUUGAAUUUGCCUGGUAUUCAAUGUUAUGAAGCUAGAAUCGCUAGUAAUUAGUAUAUGCUUUAAUAUAGAAAUUUAAUAAAAUUUUGUUGUUUUUAUUAAUUAUAGUUUAAGU
rnacentral:tRNA from 1 species